GACGAACGCUGGCGGCGUGCUUAACACAUGCAAGUCGAACGGAAAGGCUCCAGCUUGCUGGAGUACUCGAGUGGCGAACGGGUGAGUAACACGUGGGUAAUCUGCCCUGCACUCUGGGAUAAGCCUGGGCAACUGGGACUAAUACUUGAUAUGACCUUUCGCCUUAUGGGGUUUUGUGGAACGUUUUGCGGUAUAGGAUGCGCCCGCGGCCUAUCUGCUUGUUGGGGGGGUGAUGGCCUACGAAGGCGAAGACUGGUAGCCGGCCUGAGAGGGUCAACAGGCACAUGGGUACUGCGGUACGGCCCAGACGGCAACGGGAGGCAGCAGGGGGGAAUAUUGCACAAUGGGCGGAAGUCUGAUGCAGCGACGCCGCGUGAGGGAUGACGGCCUUCGGGUUGUGAACCUCUUUCAGCAGGGACGAAGCGUAAGUGACGGUACCUGCAGAAGAAGCACCGGCUAACUACGUG
rnacentral:rRNA from 1 species